rnacentral:rRNA from 1 species
GAUGAACGCUGGCGGCGUGCCUAAUACAUGCAAGUCGAGCGAACAGACGAGGAGCUUGCUCCUCUGACGUUAGCGGCGGACGGGUGAGUAACACGUGGAUAACCUACCUAUAAGACUGGGAUAACUUCGGGAAACCGGAGCUAAUACCGGAUAAUAUAUUGAACCGCAUGGUUCAAUAGUGAAAGACGGUUUUGCUGUCACUUAUAGAUGGAUCCGCGCCGCAUUAGCUAGUUGGUAAGGUAACGGCUUACCAAGGCAACGAUGCGUAGCCGACCUGAGAGGGUGAGCGGCCACACUGGAACUGAGACACGGUCCAGACUCCUACGGGAGGCAGCAGUAGGGAAUCUUCCGCAAUGGGCGAAAGCCUGACGGAGCAACGCCGCGUGAGUGAUGAAGGUCUUCGGAUCGUAAAACUCUGUUAAUAGGGAAGAACAAAUGUGUAAGUAACUAUGCACGUCUUGACGGUACCUAAUCAGAAAGCCACGGCUAACUACGUG